UUUUAAAAGACAAUUCCAUGGAUUCCAACUAAUCUGAUCCUCAUAAACUACUAUGAGACAAACAAAUAAUAUCAACUUUAUUUUAUAGCCAAGAAACUUGUUACAAGGAAAUGGCAGAAUGGAGAUGAGAAUUCCAGACUUCUACAACAUCCAGUGUGCUGGAACAGUCCUCCUUUAGUCAAAUAGGGAUUUUUUUAAGCCUAAAAGUGAUGCUUGAAAGAAGAUUCAGAUGUGAGAAGUAAACAGCAGUUGGGGGGCAGUUAAAACACCAGGGAACAAUGCAGCUGCCCCAUAAAAAUGUGCUCCCACUUGCAUUUAGAGCCUUAGCUAAAGCUGCGAAGAAGGACAACUGUUCAAAUACAAUUGUAGAGAGGUCUUCUCUUCCUCCCCCAUUCAAUGUCCCUGGUAAGCAGGGGCCAGGUCUCAGCUACCUUUGAAGACCCUACUGCAGGUGUUGAAUUUGCCUGUCUGCAAAGGUCACGAAUUCUGGACUCCUCUCCUGCUGGGGGAAGGCAGCUUUCCCCUGCAGGGUACCAGCUUCCAUUAUUCUGGC
rnacentral:lncRNA from 1 species